rnacentral:tRNA from 1 species
GCGUCGGUGGUUCAGUGGUAGAAUAUUCGCCUGCCACGCGGGUGGCCCGCGUUGGAUUCCCGGCCGACGCA